rnacentral:rRNA from 1 species
GAUUAACGCUGGCGGCGUGCAUAACACAUGCAAGUCGAACGAUGAAACUUAAAUGAACUCUUCGGAGUGACUUUAAGUGGAUUAGUGGCGGACGGGUGAGUAACGCGUGAGUAACCUGCCUUAGAGAAGGGGAUAGCCUUUGGAAACGAAGAAUAAUACCCUAUGAUAUGAUAACCUCGCAUGGGGCUAUCAUCAAAGAUUUAUCGCUCUAAGAUGGACUUGCGUCUGAUUAGUUAGUUGGUGGGGUAACGGCCCACCAAGACAGCGAUCAGUAGCCGGCUUGAGAGAGUGUACGGCCACAUUGGGACUGAGACACGGCCCAGACUCCUACGGGAGGCAGCAGUGGGGAAUUUUGCACAAUGGGGGAAACCCUGAUGCAGCGACGCCGCGUGAUUUAGAAGGCCUUCGGGUUGUAAAAAUCUUUUCUAUGGGAAGAAAAUGACAGUACCAUAGGAAUAAGGACCGGCUAAUUACGUGCCAGCAGCCGCGGUAAUACGUAAGGUCCGAGCGUUGUCCGGAAUCAUUGGGCGUAAAGGGUACGUAGGCGGGUAAGCAAGUUAGAAGUGAAAUCCUAUAGCUCAACUAUAGUAAGCUUUUAAAACUGCUCAUCUUGAGGUAUGGAAGGGAAAGUGGAAUUCCUAGUGUAGCGGUGAAAUGCGCAGAUAUUAGGAGGAAUACCGGUGGCGAAGGCGACUUUCUGGCCAUAACCUGACGCUGAGGUACGAAAGCGUGGGUAGCAAACAGG